GGGGGACCUUCGGGCCUCUUGCCAUCGGAUGUGCCCAGAUGGGAUUAGCUAGUAGGUGGGGUAACGGCUCACCUAGGCGACGAUCCCUAGCUGGUCUGAGAGGAUGACCAGCCACACUGGAACUGAGACACGGUCCAGACUCCUACGGGAGGCAGCAGUGGGGAAUAUUGCACAAUGGGCGCAAGCCUGAUGCAGCCAUGCCGCGUGUAUGAAGAAGGCCUUCGGGUUGUAAAGUACUUUCAGCGGGGAGGAAGGGAGUAAAGUUAAUACCUUUGCUCAUUGACGUUACCCGCAGAAGAAGCACCGGCUAACUCCGUGCCAGCAGCCGCGGUAAUACGGAGGGUGCAAGCGUUAAUCGGAAUUACUGGGCGUAAAGCGCACGCAGCGGUGCGCCCC
rnacentral:rRNA from 1 species